AGCAACAGAAUGGGACAAAAUGUUUGCGAAAGACUAGUAUUUAAAAUUACGUGAAGAACUCAUUACAAUCAAUUAGAAAAACGGACAAAACACUUGAGUACACACUUCAGCAGUGAAGGCAGUGAGGGGCUGUGGUGUGAUCCAGGAGGCUGAGAAUUAUGCAGUGGGUGCUGUCACCUUGAAGACAUCAGCGUGAUCAGGCAGAUCAUCAUGGUACUGCAUUUCCUGGACACGAUCUUAAUUUUCUUAAUACCUCCACCGACAUUUCAAAUAGCGUCUCUAAUGCCCCAGAGACUUUUAUGCCCCUAAGGUAGUUUUCUUUCUUUUGUGAAGCAGAAGAAGGGAAAUUGUUAAAGGGAAUAUUUUAACUAAAUUUAUUUCCAUAAAACUAUCUUUGUCUUUAUAUCUCAUGGAAAGUGUUAGGUAGCCUCAGGAUUAUAUCUCCGUUGGAAAACUGUAGAUGUAAACCUUCUUGCUAUCUACAUACUUACAUAUUUUUCUGUUGUUAUUUACUUAUGAAUAGCAUUUUGAUUAUAGCAGAAAUAAAAUACAUUAAAUGACUAAGCUCAGAAAUAAGAAAAAAAGGUCAAUGGUGAUCAUUUAUUUGGAAACUAUGAUAUUUUAAUGAUAUUAAUGGUGUAAUUGACAUUUAGUUAAACAUAUUUCAUCGUAAGUAGAGCACUUUAACUCUUACGGUCCACUUAAAAUGUAAUCAUACGUUUAUGUAUUUCUAGUUAAUGUAUCAAACUCAACUGAGUAAUCAAUGUACAUCAUUUAUUUUGCUCCUAAGUUAAUACACUAAGUUAUGCUUUAAAAUUACUAAUUUGCUGCAAUAUCCAAUACUCUCUUUUAAGUCUUACGUCUGCAGAAAAGGAUAUAAACAUUUCAUGACACCAAACCCAAGUAUUUUUGAUGCCCUUGGCAGUGUCAGUUGAACAGACAGUGUCAUUUAAUGUUUGAGACAGCAUCUGAAUUCCUUUUAUUCUUAAAAUUCUAUUUUAAAAUGCAGUUUUUGGAAAGUUAAUGUGAAUAGAAAAAUUUCUAACAUUUUAUGUGCAUGUGUUUUGUUUGUUACAGGCUUAGCAUCUCAAAUCUGAAAAUUCGAAAUCUGAAAUGUUUCUAAAAUUCAACUCUUUUGAGUGCUGAUAUGACUUUCAAAGGAAAAGCUCAUUGGAGCAUUUCAGAUUUUGGAUUUUUGGAUUUGGGAUGUUUAACCAGGGUAAAAUAUAGAAUGCAAAUAUUCCAAAAUCUGAAUAAAAUUGAAAUCUGAAAUGCUUAUGGUUCCAAGCAUUUUGGAUAAGGGAUAAUUAAGCUGUAUAACUUAUAAAACUGAAUAUAACAAAAUUUCCCAACAUGUGGAAAAUGAUGUCUUUUUUCAAAAAUGUCAAUAGCAGAUACAUGGUACAGUAAGUUAGGGGAAAAAAUGAGGUUUCAUAUCUUCUAGUUUCCUAAUUAAAAGGAGCCCAUUCUGGGUUGGAAGAAAGUGUCAGUAAGAUCAUUUCUCCUAUUUGAAAAUCAUACAAAGCUUGUCAGAGUGACUCAGGCCAGGAGUGUAGCUGGGCGUGUAGCUAAAUGAUAUCUCCCCACAUCUAUAUAAUAAGCUGUUACCUGCUUUAAAAGGAAAAGCUCUCAGCAUGACUCUAAUGUUGCAUUUCUGGAAUACAGCUUGAAAAGCUCUUCUCAGGGUUGAACAGAGCAUGAAGGUAAUGGUUAUUAUCUACUCACAUUAAAAAAAAAAAAAAAGAAAGAAACCACCACAGAAAACUACUUACUGUCUUUAGGCUCUACUUUCAAAAGUGCCCUUUAUGAACGCUUUUACACUGUUGAUGGGAGUGUAAAUUAGUUCAACCAUUGUGGAAGACAGUGUGGUGAUUCCUCAAGGAUCUAGAAUCAGAAAUACCAUUUGACCCAGCAAUCCCAUUACUGGGUAUAUACCCAAAGGAUUAUAAAUCAUUCUAUUAUAAAGACACAUGCACACGUAUGUUUAUUGCAGCACUGUUCACAAUAGCAAAGACUUGGAACCAACCCAAAUGCCCAUCAAUGAUAGACUGGAUAAAGAAAUUGUGGCACAUACACACCAUGGAAUACUAUGCAGCCAUAAUAAAAGAUGAGUUCAUGUCCUUUGCAAGGACAUGGACAAAGCUGGAAACCAUCAUUCUCAGCAAACAAGAACAGAAAAUCAAACACUGCAUGUUCUCAGUCUAAGUGGGAGCUGAACAAUGAGAAAACAUGGACACAGAGAGGGGAACAUCACACACUGGGCCUGUUGGGGGGUAGGGGGCUAGGGGAGGGAUAGCAUUAGGAGAAAUACCUAAUGUAAAUGACAGGUUAAUGGGUGCAGCAAACCACCAUGGCAUGUGUAUACCUAUGUAACAAACCUGCAUGUUCUGCACAUGUAUCCCAGAACUUAAAGUAUAAAUAAAUAAAUGAAUAAAUAAAUAAAUUUUAAAAAGU
rnacentral:lncRNA from 1 species